rnacentral:rRNA from 1 species
UACGUAGGGUGCGAGCGUUAAUCGGAAUUACUGGGCGUAAAGCGUGCGCAGGCGGUUUUUGUAAGACCAAUGUGAAAUCCCCGGGCGUUAACCUGGGAACUGCAUAGGUGACUGCAAGGCUAGAGUGUGGCAGAGGGGGGUGGAAUUCCACGUGUAGCAGUGAAAUGCGUAGAUAUGUGGAGGAACACCGAUGGCGAAGGCAGCCCCUGGGUUAACACUGACGCUCAGGCACGAAAGCGUGGGGAGCAAACAGGAUUAGAUACCCUUGUAGU